rnacentral:rRNA from 1 species
CUACGGGCCGCUGCAGUGAGGAAUAUUGCACAAUGGGGGGAACCCUGAUGCAGCAACGCCGCGUGGAGGAUGACGCAUUUCGGUGUGUAAACUCCUUUUAUAUGUCAAGAAAAUGACGGUAGCAUAUGAAUAAGCACCGGCUAACUCCGUGCCAGCAGCCGCGGUAAUACGGAGGGUGCAGGCGUUACUCGGAAUCACUGGGCGUAAAGGACGCGUAGGCGGGUUGGAAAGUCAGGUGUGAAAUCCUACAGCUUAACUGUAGAGCUGCACUUGAAACUUCUAAUCUAGAGUAUGGGAGGGGGAGAUGGAAUUAGUGGUGUAGGGGUAAAAUCCGUAGAUAUCACUAGGAAUACCUAAAGCGAAGGCGAUCUCCUGGAACAUUACUGACGCUAAGGCGUGAAAGCGUGGGGAGCAAACAGGAUUAGAUACCCUUGUAGUC